rnacentral:lncRNA from 1 species
UAUAAUGUUCGAUUCGUGCUGUGUUUUUCCCCGUUAUCCAGAUAUCAUACCCUAAACCUCCUCAACCACAAAAAUAAAAACGAAAAAAAAGAAAAGAAAAAUAGAGGUUAGAUGAGAUAAUUGUAGAAGUCUAAAGAAGUAGGUGAACAAAAAACAGUUUUCCUGUUAAUUAGUCAAUAAGCAACAAUAAGAAACCUCAACUAAUUUUUUGCCCUUUAAUUUGACUAUAAAUUU